rnacentral:tRNA from 1 species
ACUAUUUUGGCAGAGAAGUGCCUUGGAUUUAGAAUCCUAAUAUGUAAUGAAUGUUACAAAUAGUA